CGGGGUGUAGGAUAACGGUAGUCCGCAUGCUUUGGGAGCAUGGAACCUGGGUUCAACUCCCAGCACCCCGA
rnacentral:tRNA from 1 species